CAGACGGGAUAUAACCGCGCGGCAUUUUAUGAUGAUAUGAAACUGCCGUGAGGUAAAGUCCGGGCUCCUUCGGAAAAAAUGCCGGAUAAUGACCGGGCGUUUUCAGGCAGAUACAUAAUUUCUUGUAUAUCCCCGAAAACGACAGACAGUGCAACAGAAAAUAAACCGCCUGAUUAUUCAGGUAAGGGUGAAAUGGCAGUGUAAGAGACUACCGUGCAGCUGGUAACAGGUGCAGCAGUGUAAACCUCAUUUGGAGCAAGAUUAAGCAGAAGCUUGAGUAUUCCGACUUGUACGCUUCGGGUAAAUUGCUAAAGUUGUCUGGUAACAGGCAAUUCGGAUAGAUGGUUAUGUCGUUGUAAAACGAUGACAGAACCCGGCUUAUCGUCCCGUCUGUUUU
rfam:Treponema porcinum strain ATCC BAA-908 genome assembly, contig: EI69DRAFT_scaffold00004.4